GACGAACGCUGGCGGCGUGCCUAAUACAUGCAAGUUGAGCGAUGAAGAUUGGUGCUUGCACCAAUUUGAAGAGCAGCGAACGGGUGAGUAACGCGUGGGGAAUCUGCCUUUGAGCGGGGGACAACAUUUGGAAACGAAUGCUAAUACCGCAUAACAACUUUAAACAUAAGUUUUAAGUUUGAAAGAUGCAAUUGCAUCACUCAAAGAUGAUCCCGCGUUGUAUUAGCUAGUUGGUGAGGUAAAGGCUCACCAAGGCGAUGAUACAUAGCCGACCUGAGAGGGUGAUCGGCCACAGUGGGACUGAGACACGGCCCAAACUCCUACGGGAGGCAGCAGUAGGGAAUCUUCGGCAAUGGACGAAAGUCUGACCGAGCAACGCCGCGUGAGUGAAGAAGGGUUUCGGAUCGUAAAACUCUGUUGGUAGAGAAGAACGUUGGUGAGAGUGGAAAGCUCAUCAAGUGACGGUAACUACACAGAAAGGGACGGCUAACUACGUG
rnacentral:rRNA from 1 species